GUCAGCACACACGACAAAAAUGAAAUCCGUUAUUUAGAUUAUUUUCGGCACAGGCGACAGAUCGUCUCCAAGUCCAUAACGGCCUAGUUUCACAGUCGUUAAAAAAAUUAUUCCUUUGGAAUACUGUACAGUGUACACGUAUGGUGUUCCAGAUUUGACACACAUGUUUCCCCUUUUGACCUAAAUGGUGAUUUAGUGAACAGGGAAUUAUUUUUUGAAAAAGAAUAGUUACCGCGACGGAAAUCUUCAUAUUCCUGGAAAUGUUUGGAACUUGCAGGCGAAAUAGGAUCAAAUGGAGUACACUGCACACUCGUUUUGAGAAUGAUACUGGAUUCACGGUGCAGGCAUAUUUAUACAACUAUCACCCGAUAACUCCGCCCACACCUUACUGGACCAUCCUUUGGUUUUCACUCUGUAUACGUCACGGCAGCCAAAGGUGUUUUCUUUCUCCUGUUCUUCUCCUUCUUAUUCUUUUCUUCCUCCUUUUUCCAUCUGGUUACUUGGCGAUGGGCUGGUGGUCGGGGAUCUCUUGUGGACAGCCGGCACACGAAAGAAAAGACCAGAGGGGAAAAUACAAUAAAAAGAUCAGCUGCAAGAAUGAGUGUAAUCACUUCGUCGACGAAGAGAAAGUACCACGCGCCGUAAAUAGGAUGGACACCAAGCGGUAUGUAACGCCUUUACAAUCCAACUAAGUAUAUUUGUUAAUUUAAAAAACAAAAAACUCAAAGUGAUGCCCUAUAAACUGCGGAGAAAACUAUGAAAACAUUUUACGAUCGUUGACAAGGGUUUUCCUAGGGGGGUUCUUCCCUGUUUACCCACAAUGACUACCGAACAAAAGAAUUGAAAACUGCUUACAUUUGCAUCGUUUGUUGGUAUUGCGCGCGUGAGAGAUUAUGAAAUUGGCUUAUAUCGAAAAACGAUUUCUGUUACAGAAAUUGUUAGCUAAUUUCAGUUGGGAAAACACUCAAAUCUUUCCUGACUUUCUCUUUGCUACUCCGCAAAAUAGCUUGUAAUAUUGGAUGGUGAUUUAACAUCGGGGUAGCAGCUGCUACCGCUAUGCUACUCAAGUUCAGCGGCUUAUUUUUCGGGGUAGUUCAUUAGACUUCCUUCUUUCUUCCUCAUAAUUGUUUUUUUUUUCUUCUUUCUCUCCCGACGGCUCACCAAAUAGCUUAUAACAUUGCUUUACCCCAAAUCAAAUGUGUGUUACCAUAUGACCAAAAAUGAGCGAUCGAGGCUAUACAUCUGGCAGCCACUUUUUGGAGACUCUUAGCUUGGGGCGAGAAAAUCAACUCUAGUUAUAAUAAGAAAUGGACUUUUACUUUCCCAGAAUUUUUCAGCAUUUUACACCAAAUAAAAGAUAGCGUGGAAAGGAAAGCUGAAAAGGCAAACAGGUAUCAUCUAGUAGUUCAUCAUAAGCCGUUGGCUUAUCCUUUGGGCCGGACAAGUUAACAUGGUACUUAUUGCCCAAUGGAGCAACUAAAUGAAAUUGCUUGCGUACUUAAAAAUGUACCCAACUUUCACUAGAAGGACAAUACCACGUCAUGGCGAGACAGUCUCGAAAGCUGACAGGAGGCCAUCUUUUACCGUUGGAAGAUUUUAGGAAACCCAAAUUGUUCCAGCAGCAAUUGGCCGUUGCGCCGUUAUGUGCAGUACGUGUUGGUUUGGCCGAAGAAAAGCGGGACGGGCUCUGGGGCUAUAUACCAUCCAGGCGUCUUAUAUUGGAGAAAGUCGUUUUUCUUCUCUUUCUGUCGUUUCUUUUUACAGCAUUUUUGAUUAAUCAUACGCAUGUGUCCCGGGAAGGAGAUCCAAUUAAGGGCGCUUGCGGGAGCGACACGGCCUUGUUUUCCCCAGCACGUCAGCCAUUCUGGCCCAUCGCAUUUCUGCUGGUGCGAUGAGGUCCGAUAGUGAAUCGGUGAUCCUCCAAGGGCUAAGCCAGUGCGACCUUAUUCGCUGUUGGUGCGUGGUGACACCAUUUAGGAGGGCUACAGAAUGCUUCGGAUGUUUUUCCUCCUCCCAGAAUUAAAUGUGAGGAAAACAUUUCCUCCUUUGUUUUUCCAUGGUUUGUGGCUCAUCCGUCUUUCAGCUUUCUUUCUCCGCCACUUUUUAAAAUGUUGAGGAUUCGAUGGGUCAGAGAUGUAGGGCUGCCUACGUCUGACAAAUCAGAGCAUGUCAAGGAUGCGUUCAUUUCACUUCAUUCCAAUCGUCGGAUCAGAAUUUUAUUUGAAGCACGCGAGAAUUUCCAAAGAUGAGUCGUUCAACUGUAACGAAGUGCUCACAGUUUUCUCCAUUUCUGAUGCCUUGGUUGUAAUUUUUGGGAAAGGGAAUUUAUCGCUCUAGUUGAACCAAUGGCAGACUCUUCACGUUCAAAUAAAAUAACAAUCCUUUUUUUUGUUACUUAUAUUUGAUUAUGAUCUAUUAGAGGGCAAUCAUUUCGAGUCGGACAUUCAGUAAGUACUAGUCAUAAAUCAUUUUUAUCUCAUUCACCUCAAUACUUGUAACGGAUGCAGAGACGAAUGUGCAACGCACCAAAGUAAACCCAUUACCUUGCAGUAUAAUUUUAUGUGAUAAUAUACUACAUCCAUCUAAUCGUCGACGCGAAAACCACCUGUCAAACCGGUGAACUACUUAUUGAAGUAUUUGAAUUCGGAACUGACCAUUUGAUGGUUGGCGAGCGUGACGCAACAACGUAUCAAUAGCGCUCAACAAUUCAUUACGGACGCACGCAACCGGUUGAUGCGAUAGCACUAUAUAGCCUAGAUAUAAAUACUAUCUGUCAUUUUGAAAUGUGAAAGACGGGGAAAAAAGCGCAACUCGGAAAUGAGGUCUCAUCAUGUGUCUGCCUAGCUUGCAGCUGUGCUUGUGAUGUCACACACCCUGAAGCAUACACCUUCAGACAGAAUAACAGGUGGACAAAUAGCCGUCCGGCUACUGAUUAACGGUGAAUUUUUACCCAUCCUUUACAUCUUUCUCUGUUGGCAAAUAUCUAGGCCGGUGAGAAUAUUAAUCUUCUUUUCAUAUAUCAGUUUAUUCGAUCCAGUUCGUCCCCCCAAUUUCGCCAGCACAUCCACUCAGCUUUCCAACCACUAAAACUUUUAAUAAUAAUAUCCCAGUUUUUCACCUUUCCGUUGGCAAUUUUUUUUGGCAUUCAUGACAAUAUACAGCAACUUAUUCGUGGUCAAACUAGGGGUUUCCAAAAAAUCCAUCAUUCAACCAAGGCAUUUUAUUUUUCAUUCGCGGUAUUGUAUUUGCAAUCGGUUGGUUUUGCGGGCUCUUUGUAAACACGAAAGAGUAGCGUUCUAUAUCACUACAUUCUAUAGGCUACGAGCAUAAGCAAAACAAAAAAAAAACAGGUGGUCAAGUUUGAGUGAUUCAUGGCCGACUUACCUAGAAAUGGUCGAUCGGCAGAUAAUCGGUUUUGUCCGUUUAGCUGUUUCUUUUUCUUCGAUCUAUUUUCUUGUACCGCCGUUAAAAUCCCAUCAAGACCCUUUGUUGCUUAAAGAUAGUUUUCCUUCAACCGUUAUACAAAUAAUAUCUUGGCGCACUGUGAACGACGCUUAACAUUACAUUACGCAACCGUCUACAUAUUUAGCAGGAGGCGGAAACUUGUUCUGGGCCAUUUUCAUAUUUCUUACCUACAAAAAAAAAAGAUCGUAAAACCUAGAAAAAAUUGACGAUGAGACAAGGUAAAACUGCACAGUUUCAUACAGAGUUGCACAUUAAAAAAGAGUCUCACGAGCCCACCUAGUCUUGUUCCGUCUGAUCAGAUUGUGGAGUACCAGAUUUUAUGUAGAAAAUAUUGUCACAAUUGUUUGUUGCUCUCCUUGUCGUAUUACGCCUGUCGUUUCUCAUUUUCCCUGUAAGAAUAGAAAGGUAAAGAGUCAAACGGAAACGGCUGUUAAUUGAAUACCACAUGUGUCGUGGUAGGAAGUUAUUUUACAUCGAGUUACGGAUUGUUAGAUUAACUCAUUUCCUUAAAUUCACUGACACACAAAAACCUAAAUACUGCUUUGCCUGAUUAUUACUAUGCUGUUUUUGUUCAAAUCUUAAAAGAAUCUGUGUAACAAAAAUAGAUACAAAGACAAUAUGCUUGUAUUGAGCUAGAUUUCACAGUUGAAUUCAUCAGAACAAUUCUGGGGAGAUCAUAAUUUCUUCUAAUAA
rnacentral:lncRNA from 1 species